AGUGAACGCUGGCGGUAGGCCUAACACAUGCAAGUCGAACGGCAGCACAGUAAGAGCUUGCUCUUACGGGUGGCGAGUGGCGGACGGGUGAGGAAUAAAUCGGAAUCUACUUUUUCGUGGGGGAUAACGUAGGGAAACUUACGCUAAUACCGCAUACGACCUACGGGUGAAAGCAGGGGAUCUUCGGACCUUGCGCGAUUGAAUGAGCCGAUGUCGGAUUAGCUAGUUGGCGGGGUAAAGGCCCACCAAGGCGACGAUCCGUAGCUGGUCUGAGAGGAUGAUCAGCCACACUGGAACUGAGACACGGUCCAGACUCCUACGGGAGGCAGCAGUGGGGAAUAUUGGACAAUGGGCGCAAGCCUGAUCCAGCCAUACCGCGUGGGUGAAGAAGGCCUUCGGGUUGUAAAGCCCUUUUGUUGGGAAAGAAAAGCAGCAGGUUAAUACCCCGCUGUUCUGACGGUACCCAAAGAAUAAGCACCGGCUAACUUCGU
rnacentral:rRNA from 1 species